rnacentral:rRNA from 1 species
CGCUGUCAGUUUGGAGGAAGGAUCUGUGCAGAGCAGAUUUUGACCGAUAUUCAGAGGAAGGACGGGCUAAGUUCGUGCCAGCAGCCGCGGUAAGACGAACCGUCCAAACGUUAUUCGGUAUCACUGGGCUUAAAGCGUGCGUAGGCGGCCUGGAAGGUGUGAUGUGAAAUCCCACAGCUCAACUGUGGAACUGCAUUGCAAACCACUAGGCUUGAGGAAGACAGGGGUGUUGGGAACUUAUGGUGGAGCGGUGAAAUGCGUUGAUAUCAUAGGGAACACCGGUGGCGAAGGCGCAACACUGGGUCUUUUCUGACGCUGAGGCACGAAAGCUAGGGUAGCGAACGGGAUUAGAUACCCCGGUAGUCCUAGCCGUAAACGAUGAGCACUGGGUUGAGGGGACUUCC